rnacentral:misc_RNA from 1 species
GAUGAAGAACGUAGUGAAAUGCGAUACGUAAUGUGAAUUGCAGAAUUCAGUGAAUCAUCGAAUCUUUGAACGCAUAUUGCACUCUCUGGUAUUCCGGAGAGCAUGCUUGUUUGAGUAUCAGUAAACACCUCAACUUCCAUAUCUUUUUUGAAAUGGGAGUUGGACUUGAGUGAUCCCAACGCUUUUCCUCACCGAAAAGUGGCGGGUUACUUGAAAUGCAGGUGCAGCUGGACUUUUCUCUGAGCUAUAAGCAUAUCUAUUUAGUCUGCCUAAAAAACAGAUUAUUACCUUUGCUGCAGCUAACAUAAAGGAGAUUAGUUCUUGUGCUGACUGAUGCAGGAUUCACAAAGACAGGCUUCGGCCGACUUUGUAAACUCGAUCUCAAAUCAAGUAAGACUACCCGCUGAACUUAAGCAUAUCAAUAAGCGGAGGA